rnacentral:rRNA from 1 species
GACGAACGCUGGCGGCGUGCCUAACACAUGCAAGUCGAGCGAUGAAGCCCUUCGGGGUGGAUUAGCGGCGGACGGGUGAGUAACACGUGGGUAACCUGCCUCAAAGAGGGGGAUAGCCUCCCGAAAGGGAGAUUAAUACCGCAUAAUAUCAUGCUUUCGCAUGAAGAUAUGAUUAAAGGAGAAAUCCGCUUUGAGAUGGACCCGCGGCGCAUUAGCUAGGUGGUGAGGUAACGGCUCACCAAGGCCACGAUGCGUAGCCGACCUGAGAGGGUGAUCGGCAACAUUGGAACUGAGACACGGUCCAGACUCCUACGGGAGGCAGCAGUGGGGAAUAUUGCACAAUGGGCGAAAGCCUGAUGCAGCAACGCCGCGUGAGUGAUGACGGCCUUCGGGUUGUAAAACUCUGUCUUUGGGGACGAUAAUGACGGUACCCAAGGAGGAAGCCACGGCUAACUACGUGCCAGCCGCCGCCGUAA